rnacentral:lncRNA from 1 species
CUCUCUCUAGUAGAUCAGUUCCUUUUCUUUAAUGCGGAGAGCUUUUGUCUUUGCAUGGCGUAUAGGGGAGGAGGGAUCAAAGUUACCCUUUUCUUCUAUUUUUUUUUACCUGUAGUUUUUUUAUUGGGUGGAAAGGUUAUCUUUUUUUUGUUUUUGAUAAGAGGGAGAGUAAAGUGAUAGAUCUUCUGCAAUCCAAGCUAUAUGAUGAUAACUAUAAAUGGACACUAGGCCGUGCCUGGCAUGACUCGGCCCAGACCCAUGGGGCCACGAUCCAAACAGACUGUGCCUGGAUGAUAACUAUACAUGGGCACUAGGUCGUGCCUGGCAUGACCCGGCCCAAACCCAUCGAGCCACGAUCCAAACGGACCAUGCCAGGCAUGGUUCGUUUACCUCGAACCCCGAUCUGGCACGGCUCUAGGCCCAGGAUCUGGCAUGUAGGACCUGGUUUGGUACUCUCAAGGCUCAAGGGACCAAGGAAAAUGUCAAAGUUCAAAGCCCAUGAGACAUUCAUGAGAGUUCUAGGGCUAGUUUGGGCCCUAGGGUGAAAGGCUAUCAGCCUUCACAGUUUCGAGAUCCAGGAGAUUUGGGCCUUGAGGAGCUAACUUGUAUUGGGCUAGUAUUGAGUCCAAGAGAGG